rnacentral:rRNA from 1 species
UACAGAGGUCCCAAGCGUUGUUCGGAUUCACUGGGCGUAAAGCGUGCGUAGACGGUUACAUAAGUCGGGUGUGAAAGCCCCGGGCUCAACCUGGGAAUUGCAUUCGAGACUGCGUAGCUAGGGUGCGGAAGAGGGAAGCGGAAUUUCCGGUGUAGCGGUGAAAUGCGUAGAUAUCGAGAGGAACACCUGCGGCGAAGGCGGGUUGCUGGGCUGACACUGACGCUGAUGCGCGAAAGCCAGGGGAGCGAACGGG